GCGACUAUCGUUCAGCGGUGGGGCCUCGGCCUUGCAAGCUGAUCGUCUCGGUCCGAACCCGAGUGAUCGCUCCA
rnacentral:tRNA from 1 species